AGAGGGUUCUCGCCGCCCUUUCCUAUCUACAAACCUUUCCGUUGUUUUUUUUUGUUUGGUCUUUUAUAUUUUCAACCGAACUAAUAAUAUAGUUUCUUUAUAUUUUUUUUGUUUGGUCUCUUAAGUUGGUUUGAAGCUAGGUUCAGAAGAGUCGGCGUUUAUCUAACGGAUACGGCUUUGGUGGAAGGCUUUCAUGGAGUAAAAGAAAAAGCAAACCCAAGCUAGCGGCGUUUCGAGGGUAGAAGCAAACCGUCGAUGAUCAGCACCUAUCGACGGUGAACCAAGAUUCAAGUCAACACCAAAAGCCAUGUUGACACGUCGCACAGAUUAGAAAUGGCUGGCACGUGUAAUCCUAAGCUGUAUUUUUUGUUAUACAUGUACUUGGGUCUUUUAUUGUACUCUGUUUCAGCCCAUAAGGCUUAUAAAAACUAGUUGACAAAAACAAAGUGUUUUAGAUAAAUUUUCUAGAAUGACCUUAAAAGAUUUUUAUCACAA